GAUGAGCGCUGGCGGCGUGCCUAAUACAUGCAAGUCGAGCGAACAGACGAGGAGCUUGCUCCUUCGACGUUAGCGGCGGACGGGUGAGUAACACGUAGGUAACCUACCUAUAAGACUGGGAUAACUUCGGGAAACCGGAGCUAAUACCGGAUAAUAUUUCGAACCGCAUGGUUCGAUAGUGAAAGAUGGCUUUGCUAUCACUUAUAGAUGGACCUGCGCCGUAUUAGCUAGUUGGUAAGGUAACGGCUUACCAAGGCAACGAUACGUAGCCGACCUGAGAGGGUGAUCGGCCACACUGGAACUGAGACACGGUCCAGACUCCUACGGGAGGCAGCAGUAGGGAAUCUUCCGCAAUGGGCGAAAGCCUGACGGAGCAACGCCGCGUGAGUGAUGAAGGUCUUCGGAUCGUAAAACUCUGUUAUUAGGGAAGAACAAACGUGUAAGUAACUGUGCACGUCUUGACGGUACCUAAUCAGAAAGCCACGGCUAACUACGUG
rnacentral:rRNA from 1 species